rnacentral:rRNA from 1 species
UACGUAGGGGGCAAGCGUUGUCCGGAAUCAUUGGGCGUAAAGAGCGUGUAGGCGGCCCGGUAAGUCCGCUGUGAAAGUCCAGGGCUCAACCCUGGGAUGCCGGUGGAUACUGUCGGGCUCGAGUCCGGAAGAGGAGUGUGGAAUUCCUGGUGUAGCGGUGAAAUGCGCAGAUAUCAGGAGGAACACCAAUUGCGAAGGCAGCUCGCUGGGGCGUAACUGACGCUGAGACGCGAAAGCGUGGGGAGCAAACAGG